CACGUAGGGGGCAAGCGUUGUCCGGAUUUAUUGGGCGUAAAGAGCUCGUAGGCGGUUCGCUAAGUCGGGUGUGAAACCUCCAGGCUCAACCUGGAGACGCCACCCGAUACUGCUAUGGCUAGAGUCCGGUAGGGGACCACGGAAUUCCUGGUGUAGCGGUGAAAUGCGCAGAUAUCAGGAGGAACACCGGUGGCGAAGGCGGUGGUCUGGGCCGGAACUGACGCUGAGGAGCGAAAGCGUGGGGAGCGAACAGG
rnacentral:rRNA from 1 species